GUGCUUGCUUCAGCAAUAUAUAUACUAAAAUUUGAAUGAUACAGAGAAGAUUAACAUGGCCCCUGCACAAGGAUGAUAUGAAGGAAAUAAAAAUUAAAAAGAAAAAG